rnacentral:tRNA from 1 species
GGAAGUGUGGACUGACGUUGGCUCAGGCGCCUGCCUCUUAAGCAGGAUCACGUGGGUUCGAUUCCCACCGCUUCCA